CUGGUUGAAUGAAUAUGAGUGUUUACGCCAAAUUAAUGAAAUUGCGCCACGAAAUACUCGUUGCUCUGGUUAUCACAUUGUUAUCAACUUCUUCAAAUCACUGACAGGCGUUUGAAGAAACUAUUUCAGUUCUUUGAAACAAAAGUCCUGAAGCUACACUUGAGACUGGCUUGAGAGUCCACACCGUCAUUGAGCUUUAAACUUGGGAAUCUUAAAGAAUAUCCAGGAUCAAGGAUCAACUCAAACACAACUAAAYAAAAAGAUGGUCUGAAAAUCAUCUUAUUCAACAUGAAUCUAAUAGUAAUUCCUGUAGCAGGAAUUGUCUUAACAUCGAUUGCUCUGUUAAUACUCCUGGUUCUGAUGAUAUGGUGUASUCUGGCAAGAACACAAAAAUUCAUCCGCAAAGAACGAAAACUUCGUGAUGAGAUGRUUGACAAGUAUGGUUUUGAAGCAAUGAAUAAUUACUCCUACCGACCAAUCAUGACGAUUUGAUAGUGKUGGAUCWAGAAGUUUGUCAGGRGGAGSGUGGAACAAAAGGAAGAAAUAUAGAAACUGGUAUUGACACCGAAUGGAUUUGCCCCUGUUUGGAAUAUCUUGUUAGCCCUUCAUUUCUCAUGUAMAGCGAUAAAAAAUAACUGAAAAAUACAUAUUCUCUCCUGGAAUA